rnacentral:rRNA from 1 species
GCGCACCAGGCGCGAAACUUUACAAUGUGCGAAAGCACGAUAAGGGAACUCUGAGUGCCUCCUAAGGAGGCUGUUCUGAUGUCUAAAAGCAACAGAAGUAAGGGCUGGGUAAGACCGGUGCCAGCCGCCGCGGUAACACCGGCAGCCCAAGUGGUAGCCACGUUUAUUGGGUCUAAAGCGUUCGUAGCCGGCCAGGUAAGUUCCUUGGUAAAUUUAGCCGCUUAACGGUUAAGCUUUCAGGGAAUACUGCUUGGCUUGGGACUGGGAGAGGUCAGAGGUACUCCGGGGGUAGGGUGAAAUCUAUUAAUCCCUGGGGGACCACCGGUAGCGAAGGCGUCUGACCAGACCAGGUCCGACGGUGAGGGACGAAGGCUAGGGGGCGCGAACCGGAUUAGAUACCCGCGUAGU